rnacentral:lncRNA from 1 species
GGGGUGUCACUAGUCAUGAGCAACUAUCAAGGUCUGAAUACAACAAAAGUCUAAAAAUGUACUAAAUACAGUAACAACAAUGAGGGGAAGGAAGCGGUGCUGUGAACGUCAUGCAGCCACCUUGCUAACUCUGAUGACCCUGCGGCUAAGCUAUCAACACCCGCUACCGGAUUCCGAUAUACCUGAAUCUGCACAUGAGGUGUAGGGAGUAAUGUGAGUACUCCAACCCAGUAAGUAAUAAGAGUAAAUAAAGGCUGAGCAGUAGGAAACAAUGAAUCCACAUUCACGUUAGGCUCAAUAAACACAACAGGCCUUCAAAUCAUAAUACGAGUCAAUCUUCCCUUUUAAAAUCCAGCUUUUAAUAAAAAUCAUUUUGAAAUACUUUCCAGCAGUUUCGAUAGGGGUUCAAUACCAUUUAAGAUAAUAAUAGAUAUUAAAGCCAUAAUCGGCCCCUCGGGCAAAACAUAGUUUGUAAAAUAGCCCCUCGGGCAAAACAUAGUUUGUAAAACAGCCCCUCGGGAAAAACAGUAAUCAUAAACACUUCAUAACGUAAAACUCUCAGCGGAAAUAACCAAUGCCAAAUCAGUGAUUAAUUUCUGAACAUCUCAUAAACCCCAGUUUAAAUAAAAGUUGUUUUAAAAUAUUUGUUCAACUUUCCGACAGAGGCUCAACAUAAAGAUGAGUGAAAACAGUCGAUAAAUCAACAUAUUCGAUAGAAAUUCACUUUAAAGAGGAGUGACAUCAAUAAGUCCAUAAACAGGCCUCUCAAGCAAAAACAUCACUCAUAUGCAUGUAUAUAUCUAUUGCCCCUCGGGCUAGCCUCUCUGUCACUCGUGAUUCAACUCUUACCAAUCAGUACUCGCACUCAGUAUUCACGCUCAAUUGGUACCAUAUAGUAACCGCUGCGGCAUGCAGCCCGAUCCGUAUAUCUCUCACAAUAACUGAAAUCAACGUAACCGCUGCGGCGUGCAGCCCGAUCCAUGCAUCGCUGUGGCGCACAGCCCGAUCCAUAUAAAUAGUUGACUGCGCUCACUGGGGGUGUGCAGACUCUGGAGAGGCUCUUACAACCCAAGCGCUAUAUUGAUGCGGCGCGCAGCCCGAUCCAUAUAAGUAUCGCUGCGGCGUGCAGCCUGAUCCAUAUACAUAUAUAUAUACAUUGCUGCGGCGUGCAGCCCGAUCCAUAGAUAUAUAAUCCUCACAACUAGGUGUCACACCUCCUUUUUUUUACAUAUACCCCCGUAAAGAGUGUAUAAGUAUAAGAGAGUUUUUCCAAUUAAAGGACAAUCGAAACGGGAUUUAUUUAUUAAAAUUCAGAGUCGCCACUUGGGAGAUUUAUGGUGUCCCAAGUCACCGGUAAAAAUCCCGAAUCGAGGAAAGAUUGACUCUGUUUAACAGUCCGCGAACCAGAAAUCCGGAUAAGGAAUUCUGUUAACCCGUGAGAAGGUGUUAGGCGCUCCCGAGUUCCGUGGUUCUAGCACAGUCGCUUUGAUUAUACUUGACUUAACUAAAUUGUUUAAUUACUCGUUUAGAACCUAUGCGCUUUUAACUUUUACCGCUUUUUAAUUAAAAAAAUUUUUAUCGUGAAACGGGUCACGCGCAUGUGUACCCAUUUGUUUGGCGCGUCGAAAAUCAUGUCACGCGAACGUGUCCACAAUUAGUAAUGCUUUAUUAUUAUUAAGAGAAUUUGGCCGAAGUUGUGUGAACACAUACUCCGGCUUUGUUUUUCGAAAUCGUAGACGUGUCACGCGAACGUGUCCACAACCACAAUCGUAUAUUAACGUGCCUAAAGCAAACUACGAACAUUUGUCGUUUUAUAUCUAAGUUAUAAGAAAUUAAUACGAGGGCCAUGUAUGAUUAAAAGGUGGAUGGCACACCUCGGGCUAUAUGAACUAAUUUAAUUAAAGAGGACUAUAUUAAUAACAAAUUUAUUAUUUUGCGAAAGUUUGGUCGAAGUUGCGCGAACGCAUACUUCGGGUUUGUCUUUAAAAGUCGUAAUUAUGUCACGUGAACGUGUACACAAUCACGACGAUAAAUGUAAAAUGCACAUAAAUCAUACUACAAUGUUCUGAAUAUUACUGGCCUACUAACGAUCAAAACAAAAUAAACAAGGCAACAAAAUGUAAUCUUAAUCAAUAAGAAUUACUACUGCUACUAGCGAGAUGACAUUGACCAUUCCCUCGAUUCAAAACAAUUCCCUGCUUUCCUAUCUAUUAAACUUAGUUCUUUCAUGUUCAUCAAAAGGAGAGAAUUACCAAAGCUUUCACAUACACAAACAUAACAAAACUUGGGCAUCGACGAUGAAUAAAGUGGAAUUCAAUAUCUCUCCUUCUCAAAAUAAACACAGCAAUCACCCAAAAAUACAUCUCUAACAUGAUGUGAGCAAUAGACACAAGAGAACAUCAAGUAACAUGACUAAAUACGUGAUAAGACAUGAAAUCAGGACAAACUUCAUACCAAAUAUGUAGGCAACGAGGGAUAAGGGAGGGAAAAGAAAUCCAGCUUCAUAUAAUGCUUUGGAAUUAACAAAUAUAAAUCAAAUAGUAGCUAAUCUUGAAUCAGGUAGAAGCUAUGAAUCAUAAACUAAAUCCAUACAAAUGAAAUAAAAUCACUUAAACAUUCAAACCUUUGAAAGGGAAGAGAUGGUUAGAAAUAGACCUGAAACUCAAGAAAAGUCUUCAACGAUUUGAUAAAGCAACUUUAUACACAGAGAAUUAUCUUCUAGCACCGAUGUCCAAUGAAACCUUAUCAACAAAACCCGAACUAGAGACCUCGCCGUGAACCUCAACGAGCUCAAAUUAAGAACUUCGCUGCCAAUAGAACGCCAAAUCAGAAUCGACGACUCGAAUAAACUUUACUCGGAACUCAUUUGUGAUCUACGUUGUUGUUCUAUAUAUUCGGUAUUUGGAGGUGUGAUUAACAUUGGGAUUUGGGGCUAUUUUUGGAUAGUUUUUACCGCUGUUUUUGAAGUGAUUUUGGGGUUCUCCGGUGACUCAAAGGUGACUGAUUUUGGACUAUUUCACAUGGUUAACUAGCUGUAUUUUUAUGGCUUCUCAUAGUCUGUUGUUUGAAUGGAGAAGAAGUAGUUCAGGGGUGGGGGAUCUCUUGUUGGGUUAUGCGACUGAUUGUCUGUGUGAUUUGAACAGAGGGUUGUUGGGGUGGAGCGAGGAAGACGAAAUACAGGGGGGUGGGGGUCGUGAAGACGACGACGCAGAGGGGUGGGGUCGUUUUCUUCUUGGCGUU